AGCUCUGGAACUUUGGGUCAAUCUCUUAACAUUUUUGGCUUCUUACCAUCAUCUACAAAGGCAGAGUCUGCACCAUUUGAUCUCCAUAGUGUAUGUAGCUCCACAUUUCACUGCUGAACUAACAGUCACUGGGAAGGUUGAGUGAGUUGCUUACUCCUCAGCCCCCCUGUUUCUACACCUUCAGCUCCCGCAUAAGCCACCCAGGGAGUAAGGAGGGGCCUCCGGUCCUCUGAAUCUUCAGCCUUUGUCCUUUACAAUGAUAUUCACAUGAUCAAUCUCCAUUAAUCCUCUCCGCAAAGCCAAGGGACAGCCAGCACCUGAAGCCUGGGAGGAUCAAAGCUCUGCAAAUGUGCCACGAACAAUGGCCACAGCUUGUUAAUAACUUGGAUGAGUGAGGUCCUGGCUCGAGAAGCCAAGUCGGUGACGUAUCAGAAGAGAAAUCCCCCAAUUCUGAGCACAUUAGGCACGUCCUGAGUGCUUCCUACUCUAACGGAUUUUGCAAAGCUCUAAAGAUAUACACUAUCCCUGCCCUCA